GGAAGUAAAAGCCGUAACAAGGUCUCCGUUGGUGAACCAGCGGAGGGAUCAUUACCGAGUUUACAACUCCCAAACCCCUGUGAACAUACCAUUUGUUGCCUCGGCGGUGCCUGCUUCGGCAGCCCGCCAGAGGACCCAAACCCUUGAUUUUAUACAGUAUCUUCUGAGUAAAUGAUAAGAUAAAUCAAAACUUUCGACAACGGAUCUCUUGGUUCUG
rnacentral:misc_RNA from 1 species